UGAUUUUCUUUUAAUUGCUCCUAUUUUAUUUAAUUCAUAGAAAUUUUAUUUUUAAUUCAAAAAAUAUGGGACUUUCACCAAAAAUCUUUAAAUAUUUUCCUCUUCCAGAUUUUGAAUUAAAAUUAUUUUUUGGAUCAGUUUUGAUAUUUUUCAUGAAUUAAAUGUUUUUGUGCAUAUUUUUAUUGUUUAAAAAUACUUCUAACUUUUCAAAAAUAGUGAAAUUUUUUGUCUAAGGUCCUUUGAAC
rnacentral:lncRNA from 1 species